UACGUAGGGUCCGAGCGUUGUCCGGAAUUACUGGGCGUAAAGAGCUCGUAGGUGGUUUGUCGCGUUGUUCGUGAAAACUCACAGCUUAACUGUGGGCGUGCGGGCGAUACGGGCAGACUUGAGUACUGCAGGGGAGACUGGAAUUCCUGGUGUAGCGGUGGAAUGCGCAGAUAUCAGGAGGAACACCGGCGGCGAAGGCGGGUCUCUGGGCAGUAACUGACGCUGAGGAGCGAAAGCGUGGGGAGCGAACAGG
rnacentral:rRNA from 1 species